GAGUCUGGGACAAGAAGCAAACGGGCCAGCGCUGGCAGCCUAGCGGCUCUUUCCAAGGAGACUGCCAGUUCUCCUGCACCAGGUAAAACAUCCCUUCAGUGAGCAAAGGAAACUGCAAACCCGCCGCUGCGGCUGCCGUGGGACCUGCCCUGUCCCAACUCAGCUUCCUGCAGGAAUACGGCUGCAACUCUCAAUCGGACGCACCUGCCGAGGAAACAGAAGGAAAAGACUUCAGACAUCUUCUAAGGAGGUCAUGGCUCAUUACCAAGAGCAUCCAGCAGAGACCCCCGUCAUCAAGUUCAAGGACCAGGACUUUUACUCCUUGCGGGAUCAUUGCCUGAGCAAGGGCCAGCUGUUUGAGGAUGAGACCUUCCCUGCCACGGCUUCUUCCAUAGGCCUGCCGCUGCUCGAGGACAUAGACAUCCCCCGCCUGAGGUGGAGGCGGCCGGGGGACAAGGAUUUAUCAAGUACACGCCCUUACUUUAUCCUGGAAGGUGCAAGCAGAUUCGACAUCCAACAGGGAAAUGCAGGAGACUGCUGGGUCCUGGCUGCGCUGGGCUCCUUGACCCAGAACCCGCGGUGUCUGGAGAGGGUCCUGCCCAAGGACCAAAGCUUCUCACACGGCUACGCCGGGAUUUUCCACUUCCAGUUCUGGCAAUGUGGCCGGUGGGUGGACUUGGUGGUUGAUGACCGCCUGCCUGUGCUGUCCCAGAAGAGCCUGGAGUACCUUUUUGUGCAUCCUCGCAGACACAACCAGGAGUUCUGGCCCUGCCUGCUGGAGAAAGCCUAUGCCAAGCUGCAUGGCUCCUACUCCCACCUGCACCUUGGCCACCUCCCUGAUGCUCUGGUGGACUUCACAGGAGGGGUGGUCACCCACGCUGACCAGGGCUCCUACCCAUCCAACCUGGUGACGGUGGUGAAGAUGGCGGCCAGCACGGGCUCCCUGAUGGCCUGCAGCACUCCACUGGGGCCAACAGGCAAGGACCAGGAGCUGGGGAAUGGACUGGUGGCCCGUCACGCCUACACCGUGACAGGAGCUGAACAGAUUCAGUACAGGAGAGGCUGGGAAGACGUCAUCCGCCUGUGGAACCCCUGGGGCAAAACGGAAUGGAGAGGGCGCUGGAGUGACGGGUCCCCGGAGUGGCAGGAAACCCACGACCAACGGAAAAGCCAGCUCUAUGAGAACAAGGAAGACGGCGAGUUUUGGAUGUCGUGUCAAGAUUUUCAAGAGAACUUCUCCCAUCUCUAUAUAUGUAACCAAACUCCAAUCAGCCUGGACCACGGAAACACACUCCAUGAAAGAUGGUCUCAACUGACGAUGUUUAAGAACCAAGAAGGACCCUGGAGGGAGCCCGAGCACUUCUCUGUGCCACAGUGCAUGGAGGACAGCAACGCUGUCGUGUCUGUCACCAUGAUGCCACAAAGUCUGAAGGCAGAAGAGACGCAGAUCCCACUAACCUUCCAGGUGUUCAAGGUUGACUCCCAGCAGUUCCAGGAGAAACUGCCGCCGACGUUUCCUUCCUACUCCAGAUCCGCUGCCCAGGGCACAUACUUAGCAAACAAGUACAACCUCACAGGGACCUUCCAUCUGAGCCCUGGCUCCUACGUCUUGGUCCCCCGGACGAGCAGGGAAGCUCAGUUCUUGCUCCGAAUCUUCCUGAAAUUGCCAGACAUUGACAGGAACCUGAACAACGACUUCAACCUCCAAGAACUUAAGGCAAGUCUUCCAGAAAAUGGCUCUCAAGAAAGCAUUUUCCGCAGAUACGCUCAGCAGCGGCCGGACAUUGAUGCCACCGUGCUUCAGAGCCUGCUCAACCAGGAAUUCCUGAAAGGUAAGUCAUCCCCACUGCCCAGCAGGCCCAGUGUCUGCCCCCCACCCUUCUCACCCAUCCUUCCUGUCCUCCCUCCUCAGGGCCUCCAGGGGAUACAUUCUCCCUGGACGAGUGCAGGAGCAUCGUGGCUCUGAUGGACCUGAAAGUGAACGGACGGCUGGACCAGGAGGAAUUCAUGAGGCUGUGGAGGCGCCUCGUCGAAUGCCAGCGUGUUUUCCAGAAAAUCCGGAAGAGUUCCGGAUUUCUCCUGAGCUCGGAUUUGUGGAAGGCCGUAGAGGAUGCAGGUCCUGGGUGAUGCUAACGCUGCUGGUCUGGAGACCACACUUUGAUGAACCACCGCACAGCCAGCUAGAGAUGAAAUCCUUAAGGGAGACCUCACCAAUUACUAAUCCAGAGUAAUCAAAGGGAGAAAAAUAGAGAAUAGUUGGAGCUAACAUCAAAAGCCUUUGGGGGACAGGCAGGUAACUUAAAGGGGUGAUGGAGCUAACUGUAAGAAGAUAAGGUAUAUCAGGAAUGUGCCAAGUUGGAGAGUGCUUGUUUGGCUUAAAGGCAUUCAAAUCCAUGGAGUUUUCUUAACUCCUCUGAAGAAGCCAAACGUGUCUCUGGGUGGCGUGGGGCCUGCAGGCCACCAGGCCUGUCCCCCUUGGCAGAUGGUGUGGCUUGCAAGGUUGGCUUGCUCUCCAGAGCUGGAAGGCCUGCUCCUUGGCCAGUCUGCAGUUGGCCUCUCUGGGUUUAGGGCCUCCCUGGAGCUCAUAACUAGGUGUGCAGGAUGACAAGGCCCAAAGAGGGCAAGGGGCCGACCUCCCGCCCACCUGAAGCCACCUUCUGAGAUGCGGCCUCCUCUCUGAGGACCAGCCUCUACCCUGGAUGACCAGCCUUAGGACUGACCUCCCUCAUCCAGAGGGCACACCUACCCACACAGGCACGUUCCAUACAUAAGACCCACAAAUGUCAUGGAGAGUGGGGAGCGAGUUUGUUUCACAAGGUCACUGUCAAAGAGAGGCCUGACAGAGGCCGGCUGGGAGCAAAAUCCAGCACCUGGCAGCUCCCACCCCACAUGAGAAUUAUGGGGUGACUGUGGAGGCUGAUGUGUCCCCAGAAGAACAGUCAGUGUCUUGAGUGCCUCCCGUUGGUCUCUGGCUGAACAUUCGGAAGUGUUGCUGGGGCCCAGCAGCCAACAAGAAAGGAAAGGCUGGAGUGUCAGAGACACACCGAAGUGGGAUGGAUGGGCCACGCUCCAGGCUGGGUAGGAUCAAGUGGUAGGAAGCUCACCAGGCCCUGCAGACAGACGACUAGCCAUGAGAACACUGCCCACCCAGCCUCCUCCCCGCUCACGAGCUCACCCCG